AAAAGCGUAACAAGGUCUCCGUUGGUGAACCAGCGGAGGGAUCAUUACUGAGUUUACGCUCUACAACCCUUUGUGAACAUACCUAUAACUGUUGCUUCGGCGGGUAGGGUCUCCGUGACCCUCCCGGCCUCCCGCCCCCGGGCGGGUCGGCGCCCGCCGGAGGAUAACCAAACUCUGAUUUAACGACGUUUCUUCUGAGUGGUACAAGCAAAUAAUCAAAACUUUUAACAACGGAUCUCUUGGUUCUGGCAUCGAUGAAGAACGCAGCGAAAUGCGAUAAGUAAUGUGAAUUGCAGAAUUCAGUGAAUCAUCGAAUCUUUGAACGCACAUUGCGCCCGCCAGCAUUCUGGCGGGCAUGCCUGUUCGAGCGUCAUUUCAACCCUCAAGCUCUGCUUGGUGUUGGGGCCCUACAGCUGAUGUAGGCCCUCAAAGGUAGUGGCGGACCCUCCCGGAGCCUCCUUUGCGUAGUAACUUUACGUCUCGCACUGGGAUCCGGAGGGACUCUUGCCGUAAAACCCCCAAUUUUCCAAAGGUUGACCUCGGAUCAGGUAGGAAUACCCGCUGAACUUAAGCAUAUCAUAA
rnacentral:rRNA from 1 species